rnacentral:lncRNA from 1 species
GCGAUAACAAUCCACUAAGAAUAAAAGAUUACAAGGUGAUUUACCGAUUCUACGGACUCGAGCCUCUCUUUUAUCUUCUCCGGAUCUCGCGCACACCAACGGGUUGUCCACGCCCCAUGUCCGAAUCCACGAACGUCACGUCCCAAAUCCACGAAACGUCCACACUUCGAAUCUGUAACAUACCACAUCUCUCGUAAAUCGUACCAAGUUCCGUCAAAGCGAACGGAACGUGAAAU